rnacentral:rRNA from 1 species
GAUGAACGCUGGCGGCGUGCCUAAUACAUGCAAGUCGAGCGAACAGAUGAGGAGCUUGCUCCUCUGACGUUAGCGGCGGACGGGUGAGUAACACGUGGAUAACCUACCUAUAAGACUGGGAUAACUUCGGGAAACCGGAGCUAAUACCGGAUAAUAUAUUGAACCGCAUGGUUCAAUAGUGAAAGACGGUUUUGCUGUCACUUAUAGAUGGAUCCGCGCCGCAUUAGCUAGUUGGUAAGGUAACGGCUUACCAAGGCGACGAUGCGUAGCCGACCUGAGAGGGUGAUCGGCCACACUGGAACUGAGACACGGUCCAGACUCCUACGGGAGGCAGCAGUAGGGAAUCUUCCGCAAUGGGCGAAAGCCUGACGGAGCAACGCCGCGUGAGUGAUGAAGGUCUUCGGAUCGUAAAACUCUGUUAUUAGGGAAGAACAAAUGUGUAAGUAACUAUGCACGUCUUGACGGUACCUAAUCAGAAAGCCACGGUUAACUACGUG